GCACCCCCCACCCCUGCCCUCCAACAUCCUUCAUCCCCAGCCCUACUCAGCAGCCCGCCCCGCCCACAGCUAUGUGCUGACACUCGUCACAGACGGCAUGCGCAGCGUCCGUGCCUUCCACUUUGACAAGGCAGCCGCCAGUGUCCUCACCACCAGUGUGAGUAGGGGCAGGGGUGGAGGUCUUGCACUGGGUCCAGGUCUGGCCUCCUCUCAUCCACACGCCCGCCCUCAGAUGGUCACCAUGGAGCCUGGGUACCUGUUCCUGGGCUCGCGCCUGGGCAAUUCCCUCCUCCUCAAGUACACAGAGAAGCUGCAGGAGCCCCCAGCCAGUGCUGUCCGCGAGGCUGCUGACAAGGUGGGUGCUCAUGGUGGUGCCCAGGUGCUUGGCCACCUCCCCUUGGUGUAAAGCAGCCUGGAAAUGCUGUUCACCUCUGUCUCCCGCCUCACAGGAAGAGCCUCCCUCCAAGAAGAAGCGGGUGGACCCCACAGUGGGCUGGUCAGGUGAGAGCUGGACCGGUUGGGUGGGGUGGGUCUGGGAGCCAGGGCAAGGCUCAAGUGGGCUGUGUGCGCUACAGGGGGCAAGUCCGUGCCACAGGACGAGGUGGACGAGAUUGAAGUGUACGGCAGUGAGGCCCAGUCAGGCACACAGCUGGCCACCUACUCCUUUGAGGUGAGACUGGGGACAGCCGUGGAUGCCCGCCCCCUCCCACCACCUGACUGCCACUGUGUCUUCAGGUGUGUGACAGCAUGCUCAACAUCGGACCCUGCGCCAAUGCUGCUGUGGGCGAGCCCGCCUUCCUCUCCGAAGAGGUGCCUGGGGCCUGGGCUUGGGUUGGGGGCAGGAGCGGGGUUGGGGCAGCAUCUUUACCCCGACCUGUGCAGUUUCAGAACAGCCCUGAGCCAGACCUGGAGAUUGUGGUUUGCUCCGGCUAUGGGAAGAACGGGGCCCUAUCAGUGCUGCAGGUGUGUAGGGCAGGGGGGGUGGGCACCUGCGGGCAGCACCUGAGUAGGCUGACCCCAUCCCACCCUAUCUUCAUUCCAGAAGAGUAUCCGGCCCCAGGUAGUGACAACCUUUGAACUUCCUGGCUGCUAUGACAUGUGGACAGUCAUUGCCCCUGUGCGCAAGGAGGAGGUAGGUGGGACCCUAGGUGAUAGUGACUGUGGUGGCCUGAGGGCACCUGGAUCCAGUGGUCAUAGCCAUCACAGCUCUCUGUCCUCCCUGUCCUUGGCCCGUGCAGGAGGAGGCACCUAAGGCAGAGGGCCCAGAGCAGGAGCCGAGCACCCCUGAAGCAGAAGAUGAUGGCCGGAGACAUGGCUUCCUCAUUCUGAGCCGGGAAGACUCAACAAUGGUGAAGGGCGGGGUCUGGAUGUGGGCGUCUGGGGUUCCCCGGGGAAGGGCACAACUCACUACGUUACCUACAGAUCCUUCAGACUGGCCAGGAGAUCAUGGAACUGGACACCAGUGGCUUUGCCACACAGGGCCCCACGGUUUUUGCUGGAAACAUUGGGGACAAUCGCUACAUUGUCCAAGUGUCACCACUGGGCAUCCGCUUGCUAGAAGGAGGUAGGUGGGCAAGUGUAGGGAAGCGCGUCCUGGGGAGUAUGCUGCAUUGGCCACCCUGUGCUGACCACCCUGUGCCCACAGUGAAUCAGCUGCACUUCAUCCCUGUGGACCUGGGUGCCCCCAUCGUGCAGUGCGCUGUGGCCGACCCCUAUGUGGUCAUCAUGAGCGCCGAGGGCCGUGUUACCAUGUUCCUGCUCAAGAGUGAUUCGUAUGGUGGCCGCCACCACCGCCUUGCACUGCACAAGCCUCCACUGCACCAUGUAGGCCUCACCCUCUGUGUCUGCCAUCCCUGCCUAUGAUCCCCUAUCCCCACUGUCCCCGACCUACACUGGGCUUUGUCUCUCCCUGCAGCAGUCCAAGGUGAUCACACUCUGCCUGUAUCGUGAUGUCAGCGGCAUGUUCACCACCGAGAGCCGCCUGAGUGGGGCCCGUGAUGAGAUGGGGGGCCGCAGUGGUUCAGAGGCCGAAGGACUGGGCUCAGAGACCAGGUGUGCAGGGGGCCAGGGUGCAGGAGACCUGGGUCUCUGUGGCAGAUUGAGACAUGUCUGUGUCUUCAGCCCUACAGUGGAUGACGAGGAGGAGAUGCUCUAUGGGGACUCAGGCUCCCUCUUCAGCCCCAGCAAAGAGGAGGCCCGGAGGAGCAGCCAGCCCCCUGCUGACCGAGACCCUGCACCCUUUCGGGCAGAGCCCACCCACUGGUGCCUGCUGGUGCGAGAGAACGGCACCAUGGAGGUAGGUGCACACAUGUGGCUCAGCAGCCCUGGCAGCAUGGCAGGCCCUAUCGUCACUGACUGCUGUCCCCCACCAGAUCUACCAGCUUCCAGACUGGCGGCUGGUGUUCCUGGUGAAGAACUUCCCUGUGGGGCAGCGGGUCCUGGUGGACAGUUCCUUUGGACAGCCUACCACGCAGGGUGAGGCCCGCAAGGAAGAGGCCACGCGCCAGGGGGAGCUGCCCCUGGUCAAGGAGGUGCUGCUGGUUGCUCUGGGGAGUCGCCAGAGCAGGCCCUACCUGCUGGUGAGCCCUUUGGUGCCUGCCCAGAGGCUGGGACCUGCCCUCACAGCCCAGCCCAUUCCUCCACUCUGUCCUCGGGGCCCAGCCCCACCUCGUGGCCCACCCUGUCUCACUUCCAGGUGCAUGUGGACCAGGAGCUGCUUAUCUAUGAGGCUUUUCCCCAUGACUCUCAGCUUGGCCAGGGCAAUCUCAAAGUUCGCUUCAAGAAGGUGCAGCUGCUAGACCCUUUUGGGGUGGGUUGGGAGGGGUCCAGGCUACAGGGUCUGAAGGGCCUGGCGUUCAUCAACACCUUCACCAGGUCCCCCACAACAUCAAUUUCCGUGAAAAGAAGGCAAAACCCUCCAAGAAGAAGGCAGAAGGUGGCAGUGUGGAGGAGGGUUCUGGGGCCCGGGGACGUGUGGCACGUUUCCGCUACUUCGAGGACAUUUAUGGCUAUUCUGGGGUAGGCAGGCAGCUUUGUUUGGGCUUGGGGGUAGGGGAACAGGACCUUGCCCACAUGUUCUCACAGUGUCUGUCUCCAGGUGUUCAUCUGUGGCCCCUCACCCCACUGGCUCCUAGUGACUGGCCGGGGGGCUCUGCGGCUGCACCCCAUGGGCAUCGAUGGCCCCAUCGACUCCUUCGCCCCAUUCCACAAUGUCAAUUGUCCCCGAGGCUUUCUGUAUUUCAACAGACAGGUAGGAAGGUUAACUCUGGCCGCACCACAAGCACUGGUACUGCCCUGGCAAAGCUAGGCGCUAGGGACAGGAGGGCUCCUCAGCUGCAGCACAUCCCAGAGGACCAGGGAUGACUAUCUAGAGGAGGGUAGGGCCCAGGAGGUGGGAUCUGGGGCUUGAGGCUGGAGCAGUUGGCAGUGGAGGCCUGGCUGAUGGGGCAUACCCUGAAAGCCCUUGCCUCAUCUGUGACACCCACAUGGCAGCAAUGACCACCUGAGUCACUGACAGACUCUGGUGUUGAGUGCUUCCAAGGGGCUAAUGCACUCAGGACUGGACAGAAGCUGAGGCUGGGGCUGGCAGGGUCUCCCUCUGCCUGUGUUCUUCAGUCCCUGGCAUGGCCAGUCUCAGUCAUGUGGCUUUUAGUCUCUAGUGUCCUCUGGGCUUGGACUCCCAUGCCCUGUGCUGUAUUCCCCAGCCAGAAGGAUGGACAGGAGCCUACUGAUAGAAGGCAUGGGGACUGACGACCAAGGCUACAGCUCUUCCAGACCUUCCCCAGACUCGGUGACCCUAGCCAGGCAGUAGCGAGGCCUGCAGCCCUAGGCCUUGCUGACUAUUUCCACCCACCCCAGGGUGAGCUGCGGAUCAGUGUCCUGCCUGCCUACUUGUCCUACGAUGCCCCAUGGCCCGUCAGGAAGAUCCCACUGCGCUGCACGGCUCACUAUGUGGCUUACCAUGUGGAGUCCAAGGUCUGUCCCCUCCCCCAGCACUCCCUCCCCCAGGCACCCCAGGCGUGUGACACCAUUCAACUCCUAGGUGUACGCCGUGGCCACCAGCACCAAUACACCCUGCACCCGCAUCCCGCGCAUGACUGGUGAGGAAAAGGAGUUUGAGGCCAUUGAGAGAGGUAUGUGCCACCAGGGGUGGGGUGGACCAUGCCCAGGGCUGGCUACGACCACUGCCUCCUUGUCCCUGCAGAUGACAGGUACAUCCACCCCCAACAGGAGGCCUUCUCCAUCCAGCUCAUCUCCCCAGUCAGCUGGGAGGCCAUUCCCAAUGCCAGGUGAUGUUGGGCCCAGUGGGGGCUUCCGGGUGCCAGCAGGGCAGGACUAGGGUGUCCUGAUACAGCCUGUCCUUGUGCAGAAUUGAGCUGGAGGAAUGGGAACACGUCACAUGCAUGAAGACAGUGUCGCUGCGCAGUGAGGAGACUGUGUCGGGCCUCAAGGGCUAUGUGGCUGCUGGGACCUGCCUCAUGCAGGGAGAGGAGGUCACGUGCCGCGGGCGGGUAAGCAGCUGCCAGGUGGGGACAGGCGGCCCUUGGCAGCCUGUCUGCCAUCCCCACAUGUUCCCUUGCCCUGCCAGAUCCUCAUCAUGGACGUGAUUGAGGUGGUGCCCGAACCUGGCCAGCCCCUAACCAAGAACAAGUUCAAGGUCCUAUACGAAAAGGAACAGAAGGGGCCUGUGACCGCCCUGUGCCACUGCAAUGGUCACCUGGUGUCAGCCAUUGGCCAGAAGGUACACAGCUACUCCUCCCUGCUGUGUUUCUGCCUGCUCACCCUGCCCACUCCACUGACCCUUCUGCCCCCUAGAUCUUCCUGUGGAGCCUGCGGGCCAGUGAGCUGACGGGCAUGGCCUUCAUCGACACCCAGCUGUACAUCCACCAGAUGAUCAGCGUCAAGAACUUCAUCUUAGCUGCAGAUGUCAUGAAGAGCAUCUCACUGCUGCGCUACCAAGAAGAGAGCAAGACGCUGAGCCUGGUGUCCCGGGUACUUCAUGUGGUCUUGGGGUACAGGUGAGAGUCAUACUCGGGCUCCUCCUGACACCUUCUGCUCCCUGACAACAGGAUGCCAAGCCUCUGGAGGUGUACAGUGUGGACUUCAUGGUGGACAAUGCCCAGCUGGGCUUUUUGGGUGAGUAGGGUCUUGGGGGAGUGUCACCCUGGGGGUGGCUGGAGCUGACUCUGGGUCUUUGCUCCCUAGUGUCUGACCGAGACCGCAACCUCAUGGUGUACAUGUACCUGCCAGAAGGUCAGUGGCUCCCUCCCUCACUUGUUUUUUUCAAUGUUUUUUAGUAGUUGAUGGACCUCUAUUUAUUUGUAUGUGGUGCUGAGAGUCGAACCCAGUGCAUCACACAUGCUAGACAAGCUAUCACUGAGCCACAACCCCAGCCCUCCCUCCCUCACUUCUACUCCGGCUGGGUAUUGGGCACUGGGUGGGCAGUGAUCUGAGUUCUUCUGUCCUAGCCAAGGAGAGCUUUGGGGGCAUGCGCCUGCUGCGCAGGGCAGACUUCCACGUGGGUGCCCACGUGAACACGUUCUGGAGAACGCCAUGCAGGGGGGCCACUGAGGGGCCCAGCAAGAAGUCGGUGGUGUGGGAGAACAAGCACAUCACGUGGUUUGGUGAGUGGGGUGGGGUAACUGAGCUCACUGCCCCCUCGAGCCACACUGGAUGACUAGGGGGUUGACCUGGCUCACGCUUCCCCCCAUCCCCAGCCACACUGGAUGGCGGCAUCGGGCUCCUGCUGCCCAUGCAGGAGAAGACCUACCGGAGGCUGCUGAUGCUGCAGAACGCACUGACCACCAUGUUGCCCCACCAUGCUGGUCUCAACCCCCGUGCCUUCCGGUGAGCACCCACCAUCCUCAGGGCUCUGCCUACCCUCCCAGGUUGCCCUGACCCCCCACACCCCCUCCCCAGGAUGUUGCAUGUGGACCGGCGCAUCCUACAGAACGCAGUGCGCAACGUGCUUGACGGAGAGCUGCUCAACCGCUACCUGUACCUCAGCACUAUGGAGCGUGGGGAGCUGGCCAAGAAGAUUGGCACGACCCCAGACAUUGUGAGUUGGCCUGCUUUCCCCCGCCCAUCCUGUCCCUGCCCUGCUGAGCCCUGCCCUGACGGCUUUCACCCUACAGAUCCUUGAUGACCUGCUGGAGACUGACCGUGUCACCGCCCACUUCUAAGCAUGUGGAUGCCACCCUGCCCCCGCACACUGCCUCCCCCCACCUUUUGUACAAAACAAGGAAAACAAAUUGUUUGA
rnacentral:lncRNA from 1 species